rnacentral:rRNA from 1 species
GACGAACGCUGGCGGCGUGCUUAACACAUGCAAGUCGAGCGGGGACAUUGAAGAAGCUUGCUUUUGAGAUGUUCUAGCGGCGGACGGGUGAGUAACGCGUGAGCAACCUUUCUCUCAGUGGGGAAUAACACAGGGAAACUUGUACUAAUACCGCAUGAGACCACGUUGUCGCAUGGCAAAGGGGUCAAAGAUUUAUCGCUGAGAGGUGGGCUCGCGUCCGAUUAGGUAGUUGGUGAGGUAACGGCCCACCAAGCCGACGAUCGGUAGCCGACCUGAGAGGGUGAUCGGCCACAUUGGGACUGAGACACGGCCCAAACUCCUACGGGAGGCAGCAGUGGGGAAUAUUGGGCAAUGGGGGGAACCCUGACCCAGCAACGCCGCGUGGAGGAAGAAGGUUUUCGGAUCGUAAACUCCUGUCCUCAGGGAAGAGCAGAAGACGGUACCUGAGGAGGAAGCCCCGGCUAACUACGUG